rnacentral:rRNA from 1 species
ACGGGAGGCAGCAGUGGGGAAUAUUGCACAAUGGGGGAAACCCUGAUGCAGCGACGCCGCGUGAGUGAUGAAGUAUUUCGGUAUGUAAAGCUCUAUCAGCAGGGAAGAUAAUGACGGUACCUGACUAAGAAGCACCGGCUAAAUACGUGCCAGCAGCCGCGGUAAUACGUAUGGUGCAAGCGUUAUCCGGAUUUACUGGGUGUAAAGGGUGCGUAGGCGGUAUGGCAAGUCAGAAGUGAAAACUGGGGGCUCAACCCCCAGACUGCUUUUGAAACUGUCAAACUAGAGUACAGGAGAGGCAAGCGGAAUUCCUAGUGUAGCGGUGAAAUGCGUAGAUAUUAGGAGGAACACCAGUGGCGAAGGCGGCUUGCUGGACUGUAACUGACGCUGAGGCACGAAAGCGUGGGGAGCAAACAGGAUUAGAUACCCUGGUA